rnacentral:rRNA from 1 species
UACGGAGGGUGCAAGCGUUAAUCGGAAUUACUGGGCGUAAAGCGUGCGCAGGCGGUUUGUUAAGUCUGUUGUGAAAUCCCCGAGCUCAACUUGGGAAUUGCAAUGGAUACUGGCAGGCUGGAGUAUGGUAGAGGAAGGUGGAAUUCCCGGUGUAGCAGUGAAAUGCGUAGAGAUCGGGAAGAACAUCAGUGGCGAAGGCGGCCUGCUGGGCUGUUGCUGACGCUGAGGCGCGACAGCGUGGGGAGCAAACAGG